rnacentral:rRNA from 1 species
ACUGAUUUUAAUAUGACUAAGAUAAUACAGCCCAAGACUAUUACUAAGCUAAGCAGGGCUCAGUCUGGUCAGUGUCUGGAUGGGAGAGCACAUGGGAGCACUAGGCUGCUGUUGGCA